GACGAACGCUGGCGGCGUGCCUGACACAUGCAAGUCGGACGGUUCUUGCACCUUCAAGCUUGCUUGUUGGUUCAAGGAUAGUGGCGGACGGGUGAGUAACGCGUGAACACCUACCCAUUGGAGGGGUACAACCCGUCGAAAGGCGGGCUAAUACCGCGUAAGCCGUGAGGUGAAAGGCUGCUCUUUGGUGGCUGCCGAUGGAUGGGUUCGCGUCCUAUCAGCUGGUUGGUGGGGUAACGGCCUACCAAGGCUAAGACGGGUAGCCGGUCUGAGAGGAUGGCCGGCCACACUGGAACUGAGACACGGUCCAGACUCCUACGGGAGGCAGCAGUGGGGAAUCUUGGGCAAUGGGGGAGACCCUGACCCAGCGACGCCGCGUGAGGGAUGAAGGUUUUCGGAUCGUAAACCUCUGUUGUACGGGAAGAAGGAUGUGACGGUACCGUACGAGUAAGCCCCGGCAAACUACGUGCCAGCAGCCGCGGUAAAUGUCACGUCG
rnacentral:rRNA from 1 species